ensembl:lncRNA
GGCUCCUGCUUCCCCUGCUUGGUUUCAGCCUGCCGUGAUUGCUGCUGCAGAAAGAUGCUGAUUGUAAGUAAACAUUAAUUAUGCCCUGCUACCCCGCUGCUCGCGGCGCUGGGCCUGCGCUCUGCUCCUGCCACUGGAAAAUCAUCUGCGUGGAUUUCAGCGUAGAACCGUGGAAUAUCCCGUGCUGGGAGGGACCAAAGGGAUCACUGAAUCCAGCUCCUGGCUCCACACAGGGCCACCAGAGGCUCAAACCCUAUUUCAGGUACACCUUCAUGUACAGAACGGAUGUGUAGUUCUUUAUCCAUAUCCAACACGUUUUGGGUUGAAAAUCCACUUCACCUCCAGAGGGAGUGUUUUUACUGCAGCAGUUUGCCCUGGAGCAGACCACAUCCAGAGUCCUAUCUUGCUUGGACAAGAGAGCAUUACUUCUAAGCACUCUCCUCACUUGUAGAUGGAGUUAUGGCACGUUUUGUGCCACUGCAAUCCCACGCUGCUGCAAAAGCACUGAAUAACGCCCUCGUCACCCUGAAGGAAGGGAGCUCAGGUGAUGCAGUGAGCAGCUCUGUGAUCUGCUGGGGAGGCCUCACUGAGCAUCGCCUCAUUUACACAAGGAGGACAGCUUUGUGUCAGCUUAAGGACAGUACGAAACCUGUGCAAGUUUGCCUUUACUGUGGUUUAACACCACAAACCCCUCAACACACCGAAACCAAUCUCAGUAAAGUAGAUUGCAAGGAAAAGGGAAAGGAUGUGUUAUAGGGCUGUGGAUUCAACAGUUUUGGUAGGAAAUGAUGCUGCAGGAGGAGCAGGGCUGCUAACACAGAGCUGUUCAGUCUCUGCCUGCCUAAGAGGAGCUCAGACUCUUCCCAUGUGCUGGUGCUCUUCGGAAUUAUACUGGCACUUGAGAGAAAGGGUUUUAAAGAAAGGCUUUGACAUACUUCUUCCUUAAAGGUUAGUACCUAAAACGCAGCAAUGGAAGGAGAUCAAAGUGGGCAAGAACUGGUCACAAAGAAGGGAAAGGCAAAAGCCAAAUGGAGCUGGAAAGGGUCAAUGAGUACGAGUGGAACUGAAAGCAGUCACAGCAGACAAUAGCAACUCCUUUGUCAUUUUGCUCUUACUGCAGCACUGGAGGUGGAGAACACAGUGCUUUUCUGCUCUCUGCAGCACAGCCCACAAAGUCGCAGGCUUACUGUGCCCACAGCCUCCAAGUCAACACGCUGUGUAUUUAUGUCAUUAAAGCAACAAGAGGCCACUUCAUUCACGGUAUUUAAGCCUAUACAUUGGAAGUCCCGGGCAGGUUUUGAGUGACAAGGCUCGGUGAGGUUGUUCGGACAUUGCCUGCUGCAAAAUUCCUCCUGCAUUCCUGGCUGCCUGCUGGGCACAGCCCAUGCCCGAGCUCUGCCUGCUGCGUGUGCUCACCCCUGUCCCCAGACCAGCGUGGUUCCACACCCCGGCUCCCAGCUCCGUAGGAUCAAUGUGCUGAGGGAGCAGUUGUUCAUCACCAGCACGGCCUUCAGGAUCUUCCCCUCUCCUUGAUACUAAACAGGUGUUAAACGGAACAAAUCGUGCAAAAUAAAAG